GUGACCUUCAUGCGUCUCCUAGUAUUUCGUCUACGGCCCUAAUGGUGACUCGUAUGUCGUAACGUUAACGUAUCCGAUUCGACGACGACGACCAAGAUUUCUUUUUCAAUAGAAUAUUUAAAUUUGUACAGAACUGAAGACGUUUCGAGAAUCAAAAUAUAUACUUCAAGAAGUAGCUUGCAACACAAUAAAGUGCGUCAAAUUUUAUUUGUUCUGUUCCGAAAGCCCCACUUUUUCCCAGCGUUCAG